rnacentral:rRNA from 1 species
AGUGAACGCUGGCGGUAGGCCUAACACAUGCAAGUCGAACGGCAGCACAGUAAGAGCUUGCUCUUACGGGUGGCGAGUGGCGGACGGGUGAGGAAUACAUCGGAAUCUACUUUUUCGUGGGGGAUAACGUAGGGAAACUUGCGCUAAUACCGCAUACGACCUACGGGUGAAAGCAGGGGAUCUUCGGACCUUGCGCGAUUGAAUGAGCCGAUGUCGGAUUAGCUAGUUGGCGGGGUAAAGGCCCACCAAGGCGACGAUCCGUAGCUGGUCUGAGAGGAUGAUCAGCCACACUGGAACUGAGACACGGUCCAGACUCCUACGGGAGGCAGCAGUGGGGAAUAUUGGACAAUGGGCGCAAGCCUGAUCCAGCCAUACCGCGUGGGUGAAGAAGGCCUUCGGGUUGUAAAGCCCUUUUGUUGGGAAAGAAGAGCAGCAGGUUAAUACCCCGCUGUUCUGACGGUACCCAAAGAAUAAGCACCGGCUAACUUCGUG